ACGGGUGAAUAACACGUGGGUAACCUGCCCUAUGGUUCGGGAUAACUGGCCUAAAGGCCCGCUAAUACCGGAUGAGACCACAUGAGCUUCGGCUCAAGGGGUCAAAGUCCGCCUCUCAACCAGCCCCGCACCACAGGAGGGGCCCGCGGACCAUUAGCUUGUUGGUAGGGUAACGGCCUACCAAGGCCAAAAUGGUUAGCUGGUCUGAGAGGAUGAUCAGCCACACUGGAACUGAGACACGGUCCAGACUCCUACUGGAGGCAGCAGUGAGGAAUAUUGCGCAAUGGGGGAAACCCUGACGCACCAUCGCCGCGUGGGUGAAGAAGGCUUUCGGGUUGUAAAGCCCUGUCCCGUGGGAAGAACCUUCUGCAAGUGAAUAGUCUGCGGAACUGACGGUACCACCGAAGGAAGCACCGGCUAAAUCCGUGCCAGCAGCCGCGGUAAGACGGAGGGUGCAAGCGUUGUUCGGAAUCACUGGGCGUAAAGCGCGUGUAGGCGGUUCGAUAAGUCGAAUGUGAAAGCCCGAGGCUCAACCUCAGAAGUGCAUUCAAAACUGUCGGGCUUGAAUACCGGAGAGGGAAGUG
rnacentral:rRNA from 1 species